rnacentral:rRNA from 1 species
GUGGGGAAUUUUGGACAAUGGGCGCAAGCCUGAUCCAGCGACGCCGCGUGGAGGACGAAGGCCUUCGGGUUGUAAACUCCUUUUGGAGGGGAAGAAUAAAUUGACGGUACCCUCAGAAAAAGCCACGGCUAACUACGUGCCAGCAGCCGCGGUAAUACGUAGGUGGCGAGCGUUACUCGGAAUUACUAGGCGUAAAGCGUAUGUAGGUGGUUAGAUAAGUCUAUGGUGAAAUUUCCUGGCUUAACUGGGAAGGGACAUAGAUACUAUCUGGCUUGAGUGUGGGAGGGGGAGACGGAAUUCCUGGUGUAGCGGUGAAAUGCGUAGAUAUCAGGAGGAACACCGAUGGCGAAAGCAGUCUCCUGGCCCAAUACUGACACUGAGGUACGAAAGCUAGGGUAGCAAACAGGAUUAGAAACCCUGGUAGUCC